AAUUCUCAACCUUUAUUAGCUUUUGUUGAUAAUGGCUUGGAUAUGGGGGUUUAUUUUGCCGGCUUCUUCACAGAUGGUCAGCUCCCCUUAAAUGCAUUAGCCGGUGCCCCGUGUGGACUGUCUAUUGGUGUGAUAAUUAUCUACGCCGUGGACAUCUGCAAUCAUAUGGGUUUGCGCUGCUUCCAACCGUCUGUUCAUUCAGACAAUACAUGACC
rnacentral:misc_RNA from 1 species